UGCAAGAGUGCCUGAAGGGGAUCUCCCGUG
rnacentral:piRNA from 1 species